UUUCUCCCCUCUUAGGUCUGUCUGGGAAAGUCAGUGUUGUUUUCUGUCUGAGGAUAAUUAACCCACUGGGUCUUGAAUUUCCUAGAUGGGGGUCCACGAACAGCUCCUCUUUAGUUUGUGCUUACUGGGUACCAUACAGGCGUGGGCUAAUUCACCCUGUGACUCUGGAUCACUCAUUUACUUCUCACAUCAGCCUUCUGACACAGGUGGUGUUCUUCCAGUCUCACAGCUGCCAGAAUUGGUUCCGUCUUCCCAUUCCCCCAGGGAAAGAGUGAGAAUGUGGCAGUGUCAAAAAAUCAUGGUGGUGGAGUUCCUACUGUGGCUCAGCAGUAAUGAACCAGGCUAGUAUCUUUGAAGACGCUGGUUCGAUCCCUGGCCUCGCUCAGUGGGUUAAGGAUCUGAAGUUACCAUCAACUGUGGUGUAAGUCGCAG
rnacentral:lncRNA from 1 species